ensembl:snRNA U6 U6 spliceosomal RNA
AUACUCCCCUCAGCAAUACAUAUACUAAAAAAUUGGAAUACAGAGAAAAUCAGCAUGGUCCUUGUGCAAGGAUGACACACCAAUUUGUCAAGAGUUCCAUAUUUUC